UGUAGGAGCCGGCUUGCUGGCGAUAGCGGUGUGUCAGCAACCUUUAUGUGGGCUGACCCACCGCUAUCGCCAGCAAGCCGGCUCCUGCA
rnacentral:misc_RNA from 1 species